rnacentral:rRNA from 1 species
AUUGAACGCUGGCGGCAUGCCUUACACAUGCAAGUCGAACGGCAGCACGGGAGCAAUCCUGGUGGCGAGUGGCGAACGGGUGAGUAAUAUAUCGGAACGUGCCCAGUAGUGGGGGAUAGCCCGGCGAAAGCCGGAUUAAUACCGCAUACGACCUGUGGGUGAAAGCGGGGGAUCGCAAGACCUCGCGCUAUUGGAGCGGCCGAUAUCAGAUUAGCUAGUUGGUGGGGUAAAGGCCUACCAAGGCGACGAUCUGUAGCUGGUCUGAGAGGACGACCAGCCACACUGGGACUGAGACACGGCCCAGACUCCUACGGGAGGCAGCAGUGGGGAAUUUUGGACAAUGGGCGCAAGCCUGAUCCAGCCAUGCCGCGUGUGGGGAAGAA